GUUCCCAUACAAUCACCGAAGUUAAGCAACGUUGAACCUGGUCAGUACCUACAUGGGCAACCGCUUGGGAAUACCAGGUGCUGUAAG